GUCAUUCGGUGUUCUCCUUUUGUCAGCAUUGAUGCUGACUGGCUGCAAUUGCCAGGACGCUUCGAUUGAGAAAUCAACAGCUUCUGAAUUUCUGCAAAGUGAAGAUAAGGAACCACUGACUCUGCAUGAGGAAUGCUUUGUUGAAGGAUGUGUCUAUGAAGAGGUUUUAGAACUCUAUGGAUCUCGUGAGAGAACCGAUGAAUUCUGGUGUGGUCAAAGAGCUUAGUGAUGGUCUUGCAAGAACGAUUUCCGUCAGGUUAUUUGACUUCAACAGGAAUAAACACAAGUGUCAGACAGCAAUUACCGGGUGAUAUGAACCCUACCAGUGAACUACACCAGAAGAGUUAGUUAUCUGCAAUAAAUCAUGUGUUCUACAGACAU